rnacentral:rRNA from 1 species
CCCUUAGAUGUUCUGGGCCGCACGCGCGCUACACUGAUUCAUGCAACGAGUUUUGUCCUUGGCUGAAAGGCCUGGGUAAUCUUUGAACGUGAAUCGUGCUGGGGAUAGAUGAUUGCAAUUAUUCAUCUUCAACGAGGAAUUCCUAGUAAACGCAAGUCAUCAGCUUGCAUUGAUUACGUCCCUGCCCUUUGUACACACCGCCCGUCGCACCUACCGAUUGAAUGGUCCGGUGAAAUCUCGGGACGGCGGCUUGGUCGCUUGCGUCCGACUGCUGAAACUUGAUUAAACCAUAUCAUUUAGAGGAAGGUGAAGUCGUAACA